AAACGACUCUCGGCAACGGAUAUCCCGGCUCUCGCAUCGAUGAAGAACGUAGCGAAAUGCGAUACUUGGUGUGAAUUGCAGAAUCCCGUGAACCAUCGAGUCUUUGAACGCAAGUUGCGCCCGAGGCCUCGGCUAAGGGCACGUCUGCCUGGGUGUCACGU
rnacentral:rRNA from 4 species